rnacentral:lncRNA from 1 species
GGGGCAGGAGACCGGAGGGAGUUGAGGUUUUGCACCCGAUAAGGAGACGCAUAAAGGGAACGGGUGGGGACACAGGGCCCCUGCAGCCUCAGGAGGAUCAGCAGUGGCCUGGUUUACUCGUGUCGUCAUUCGUCGUGGGCACCUUGUCCCCGGGGCCGGCCAGUUACUUGGCCUCCUGGCUCAUCAUCCUGCCGGAAGCAUCUCCAGCUUGGGGAUGUUGGAGGGUCCCUGGCCCCACCUGGCUGGGGAUGGAGUGUAAGCCGAGGAGAUGCCAUGUGAGGGUGCAGCGAGGAGUUGGGCUGUCUAAAAGCAAAGAAAGAGAUUGCAUCAGACACCGCAUCUGCUGACACCUUGUUCUUGGACUUCCAGCUUCCAAAACCGCGAGAAAUAAAUGUCUGUGUCUAAACCCCAACCCUACCACCUCAACUGCCGUGUGUGGUGUUUUGUGAUGGCAGCCCCAGCUGACUGAGACACCUGGUUAGACCGGAAUAAGCAGUACCUGAGUCCCUUAAGAGUGGCCAAAGAAGAAAGAAUCCACUGAGUUGACAUUCCAGUUCAGCUGCAAUCGGUAGCAGUCACCAUUGAACAUCCUUGAAGCAAUUCUUCCAAAAUUACCUUGCAUCAAAGACUGCACAAGAACUGCUCUAAGCGGAAGGACUGAUGUCGGCAACCAGGGUUCCACCAGGGGCUGCAGACAGCCCUUGACCUUCAGGUGGGAAGGUGUCACUGAGUUCAGACCCUCUGGCAAUCCCUAGCUAUCAACAUUUUGAUAAGAAAAUAAGUGGAAAGGUAGAACUGGAAGAUUUUGCUGAAAGAUUGGACAUGGCAUUCAGAGAAACAGAGGUUUUAAUGACAAACUCCAAGUUUUUGGCUGGAGCAACUGGAAGAAUGAGGUUGCCAUGAACCGAAAAGAGAGAUUGCAGAAGUAACCAAAUUUACUCACGUAGGCCAGGAAUUUCUAUGACGUGUUCCAAAUUCAGCCUCUCACUGAACACUUCCAGAGCAAGGCAACAUAAACAUCUGCAAGAAGAACAUUGUGUGAGAAAUAUCAAGUGAGAGUGGAAGAGUCUGCGGAGGGCCUCCCUGGGGCUCACCUGUGCUUUUGCCUGAGCUUCACCGUGUCAAGGAUGCAGCACUUUUUCCCUCUGGAGGAAGCAGCUUUCACCUUGGAAGAAUCUUGACCUUGCCAUUCAAAGUCACCAGACAGGGAAUCUGCCAGUGCCUUGAUCUUAGACUUCCCAGCUUCUGUAACUGUGAGCAAUAAAUGUAUGCUGCUUAUAAACUAUCCAGUCUCAUGCAUUUUGUUAUAGCAAUAUAAACAGAUGAAGACAGACAUAAACAUAUCUUUUUGAGAGAUGCAAUGCAACCCAUACCACCAGGAUUGCCACAUGUUUGCUGAUUUCACCUGGUAGCAAGGCUUAGCUAUCUUGGCUUGAAUGUAAUACCUCCAUCUUUUCUCUUGGUCAUCCUCUUUAAGCAGAGGACUUUUAUCUACCCAAGCAGAAUCCUGUGUUCUUGCUAUUCGAAGUGCAGCCCAGCCUCCUGCAGCCACCACAUCACUUGUGAUGCUUGACAGAAAUGCAGACUCUCUGUUCCCACCUCAAACCUACUGACUUGGGAAUCUGCAGCUUACCAAGAUCUCCAGGUGAUCCACGUACACGUCAAACUUUGAAAAGCAGUGGUUUG